GACGUAAGUCCAAAGAUUUAUCGCCGAGGGAUGAGCCCGCGUAGGAUUAGGUAGUUGGUGUGGUAAAGGCGCACCAAGCCGACGAUCCUUAGCUGGUCUGAGAGGAUGAUCAGCCACACUGGGACUGAGACACGCCCAGACUCCUACGGGAGGCAGCAGUGGGGAAUAUUGGACAAUGGGCGAAAGCCUGAUCCAGCAAUGCCGCGUGAGUGAUGAAGGCCUUAGGGUUGUAAAGCUCUUUUCGCUAGGGACGAAGCGUUUUUGUGACGGUACCUGGAGAAGAAGCACCGGCUAACUACGUGCCAGCAGCCGCGGUAAUACGUAGGG
rnacentral:rRNA from 1 species